GUCAGGAUGGCCGAGUGGUCUAAGGCGCCAGACUCAAGGCUGUGCCUUCCCGAUGGGAUUUCUGGUCUCCGAUGGAGGCGUGGGUUCGAAUCCCACUCCUGACA
rnacentral:tRNA from 1 species